rnacentral:lncRNA from 1 species
CUUUAUCUUGGAUCUUUGUCGACUCUUUCCAGAUACAAUCAAUGUCCUCUGCUACUUGCUGCAGGCUAUCAGAAAGCCUCUCAUGUGCCUUUUCUCUCAGAUUUUCAUCACUUGCCAAUACAACUUCAGUUACUCUUUGUUGAAUUGUGUGUUCAACAAUAUUUGCAACUUCUUUUACCUCUACUUCAAAAUCCGUCAUUUCCCCAGAAACAUUGUUUUUCUCAAGGUUCAUGACAACUACUUCGAGGGAACUAAUCUUUUCAUGAAGAGCAGAAAAGUCUUCUUUGUGAUCACAGGUUAGAGAUUGCAUUGGUGAAUUGAAUGUCAAGAGCGAUUCUAUUGUUCUCAUAAGGGAAGCCACACUU